UACGUAGGGGGCUAGCGUUGUCCGGAUUUAUUGGGCGUAAAGAGCGUGUAGGCGGCCAGGUAGGUCUGGUGUGAAGACUCGAGGCUUAACCUUGAGAUGUCAUCGGAAACCAUUUGGCUAGAGUCCGGAAGAGGAAAGUGGAAUUCCUGGUGUAGCGGUGAAAUGCGCAGAUAUCAGGAAGAACACCAAUGGCGAAAGCAGCUUUCUGGGACGGUACUGACGCUGAGACGCGAAAGCGUGGGGAGCGAACAGG
rnacentral:rRNA from 1 species